CUAACUUUGUGCCAGCAGCCGCGGUAAGACAGAGGAUGCAAGCGUUAUCCGAAAUGAUUGGGCGUAAAGCGUCUGUAGGUGGCUUUUCAAGUUCGUCGUCAAAUCCCAGGGCUCAACCCUGGACAGGCGGUGGAAACUACCAAGCUGGAGUACGGUAGGGGCAGAGGGAAUUUCCGGUGGAGCGGUGAAAUGCAU
rnacentral:rRNA from 1 species